UAUCAUCUCACUCUGAUUGAGGGCAGCUUAUUAGUGAGCCGCACAGCUGAUGUGUCAGCGUGAGCUCUGCCAGAGGAAUCAUUCCUUGGUAUACAGAGGCAACAGCAGGUCAUAGGUAUGCUUUCAUCUACCAUUGUCUUAUCAUUAUUUCAUUAUUUUCUUUCCUUCCAAGUUUAAUUCAUUAUUCACAACAAUCUGGAUGUGAUACUUUGUUGCCACUUGCAGACUCUGUGAAAAUAUACUUUUUACUCACUUAUCUGUCAACAAUGAGGAAAUAUAUUUUUUCCUGGAUUGACUUUCUUUCUUUUAUUUCUCACUAUUCAGUAUCUGGACUAUACAGUUCUCCUGGGCAAUUUAUCUGCCCUAUUUCCGGCAGUUAUUAUUGCAACUAGAAUCAGUAUAGUAUUGACAGAAAUCUCUUGGGAUGAAUUAUAUCCAUCUCUUCUGAGACUACCUCAUCAUCAAUCUUCCCAUUUUUUCUAUCAUCAUUUUAAUCAGUACCUGCUUGCCUCCGGCUCCUCUUCCUCUAUAGGCUUGCAUCCAGGCUCUGUGCAUUGCACGGCGAUCCUACCCGCAUGCUUAAGAGGAUCAUUUCCUCUUUUUCCCAUCCCUCCUUCCAUCUAUCUGGGAUUCUCCAUCUGGGACUUUGAGCCAAUCACGGCCAAUCA